GACGAACGCUGGCGGCGUGCUUAACACAUGCAAGUCGAACGGAAAGGCCCUGCUUUUGUGGGGUGCUCGAGUGGCGAACGGGUGAGUAGCACGUGAGUAACCUGCCCUUGACUUUGGGAUAACUUCAGGAAACUGGGGCUAAUACCGGAUAGGAGCUCCUGCUGCAUGGUGGGGGUUGGAAAGUUUCGGCGGUUGGGGAUGGACUCGCGGCUUAUCAGCUUGUUGGUGGGGUAGUGGCUUACCAAGGCUUUGACGGGUAGCCGGGCUGAGAGGGUGACCGGCCACAUUGGGACUGAGAUACGGCCCAGACUCCUACGGGAGGCAGCAGUGGGGAAUAUUGCACAAUGGGCGGAAGCCUGAUGCAGCAACGCCGCGUGCGGGAUGACGGCCUUCGGGUUGUAAACCGCUUUCGCCUGUGACGAAGCGUGAGUGACGGUAAUGGGUAAAGAAGCACCGGCUAACUACGUG
rnacentral:rRNA from 1 species